AACGCCCAUACCAUGCUGAAUAUACCGGUUCUCGUUCGAUCACCGUCAAGUCAAGCAUCAUUGGGCGCGGUCAGUACUUGGGUGGGUGACCAUCUGGGAACACCGCGUGCUGUU